rnacentral:tRNA from 1 species
GGCCGGUUAGCUCAGUGGUUUGAGCACGGAGCUGACAACAGUGACCGACACUGAGGUCGUGGGUUCGAUUCCCGCUCGGUCC